GUCUGACUCUGUGCGACCCCAUAGAUGGCAGCCCACCAGGCUCCUCCUUCCCUGGGAUUCUCCAGGCAAGAACACUGGAGGGCAGAAACCUGGCCAGGGCAGGCCAUGGAGGCAGGAUUCAGUGGACGACUCAAACCCAGAGUCCUUCAUGAAUGGCUCUCUAGCCAUUCUCCACUCAGGAGCAUCUCCCAGGGAGAGUCCAGGUUAUAUUUAAGAAGACAGCAGAGGAAGAGGGAGAAGACUGCAAAUCAAGAGGCUUCUGAAAGAAAGGAGCUGCAAGGAAGACUGAGCACAGCCUCAGCAUCUUUUAGUUGUGGGGAUGAUAACAUACAGGGUAACCGUGGAAGCGCUGCAAGCCUUGUGUAGAAGAUGCUGGAGCCUUUGUCCCUCUGGGUCCCUGCCUGACUACAUGGAAUAGAAUUCUCUCCUGGCAGCCACUGGACUUCAUUGGAAUGCUUGGAAUGAUCUGGUUGCUCUUCUCUCUGCUAAGCUGCUGUGUUGUCCACCUCAGCAUGAAUCACCAACAAGGGCAUCUCUUUAUGUGGGUCUCUUUCCAGUGAUUUUGAACAUUGUGUGGGCUUCCCUCGUGGGUUCAGAUGGUAAAGAAUCUGCUUGCAAUGCAGGAGACCUGGAUUCUAUCCCUAGGUUGGGAAGAUCUUUUGGAGAAGGGAACGGCUACCCACUCCAGUAUCCUGGCCUGGAGAGUAUAUAUACAGUCCACGGGGUCGCAGAGUUGGACACGACUGAGCAACUUUCACUGUCACUUUACUAUUUUUUAAAGGCUGUGCUUGCACUUUCUGAUUGGAUUGAUAAGAAUGACAUCUGAAAUUUACUGAGCUCUUGUUACAUGUAGGGUACUUUUCUAACCACCAUAUGUGCAUUGAAUCAUUUAAUCCUCAAAACAAGCCAAUGAAGUAAAUACUCCUGUUCCCGAUAUCACAGAUGAGGACAAUAGCUUUCCCACUGCCACGUUACCAGCAAGAGUGGUGUCAGGAGUUGGAUGUAGGCUGCCUGUUUCCAACAGCUGGGCUGUUAAUCACAGCACUAUUCCUCAACACUCACUGUGAUCCAUUUACUAUAUUGUGGGUAUAUUUUUAUACCUUAAAAUGUCCUCUUACAACAGUAUUACCAAGUGCCCCAACAUAUUCAAUCUGAAUAUCCUGCUGUAUUUAAUCAACAUAUUUUUGGGGGAAUUUGUUUCUAAUUUUUUAUUUAAAUAAUGGCUUGCCAUGUACAUACAUUAUUUUUAGAGACGCUCACUACAGAUGGUGACUGCAGCCAUGAAAUUAAAAGACGCUUACUCCUUGGAAGGAAAGUUAUGACCAACCUAGAUAGCAUAUUCAAAAGCAGAGACAUUACUUUGCCAACAAAGGUCUGUCUAGUCAAGGCUAUGGUUUUUCCUGUGGUCAUGUAUGGAUG
ensembl:lncRNA